rnacentral:RNase_P_RNA from 1 species
GCGUUCGGGUAAUCGCUGCAGUGAACGAUAGUGAUACUGCAGAGGAAAGUCCAUGCUCGCACGGGCUGCGAUGCCCGUAGUGUUCGUGCCUAGCCAAUUCAUAAGCUGGGGCAGCUUGAACAAGAUUUAAGCUGACGGCCGGAAAAACGCCUAAGUCCGCAUGGAUAUGGCGUGAAUACCUGUAAAAGUGCCACAGUGACGUAGCCUUUUUAGAAAUAAAAAGGGUGGAACGAGGUAAACCCCGCGAGCGAGAAACCCAAAUAAUGGUAGGGGCACUUUCUCUUAGGAAUUGAACGAGGAGAAGGACAGAUUGGCAUGCCAAUUUGUAGAUAGAUGAUUACCGCCCUCGUACGAGACAACCGUCGUUUGCAGUACAGGGGUACAGAACAUGGCUUACAGAA